AUGAGCUCCCUCGCAAUCGCAAGUUCCUGGGUGACGCUGAUGAACUUGUGUGGUAGCCCGGCUUGUUGCGACCAGGGCGUCCUCAGAGAAGUAUUCAACGCCUCCACCUGCGUGAAUCACCUGGUGGAAACGGGCAUCGUCGCGCCUCUCGCGGUCGUGCUCUUGCUCCGGUUCCUCGUCCGGCUCCCCGAGAGCAGAGCGUCCGCCACGCGCCGCCAGCGGCUUCUCAGGCCCAGCUCACCGCUGCAUCUCGCCACCGUGGUGUUCAAUGGCUGCUUGGGGUUGUUCCAUCUCGUCCUAGGACUCUGGAUGCUGCUGGGGAGCAACUUCGACAACCAUCCGGAUGCCUCUAGGACUUGCCUGCCGCACUGGUGGCUUGUGACACUGUCCCAGGGAUUCAGCUUGCUCCUCGCCGGCUUCGCUUUCGCCGCCGGGAGCCGGUUUCUCGGGUCGGUGUUCGCUCAAUCAUGGUCGGUCUUGCUGACCAUCUAUGCGGUGUUCGUCUCCUGUUCCUCGGUUGUCGCCAUUGUUGCUCAGAAGCCGAUCACUGUUAAGGCCUGUUUGGAUCUCCUGUCGCUGCCAGGCGCAGUUAUGUUUCUUGUCUACAGCAUUCACAGCAGCCAUGCCCAUGAUGAUCAAGAGGGACAUGAAGGAUUAUACGAGCCACUGAAGACGGAUGACACAGCUGACAGUGAGGUAGCUGAUGACUCUUCAGAGGUCAGCCAGCAGAAGGUGACUCCCUUUGCCAGAGCUGGCAUUUUGAGCCAGAUGACAUUCUGGUGGCUGAACCCUCUGAUGAAGACGGGCUACGAGAAGCCCCUCGGCGACAAAGACAUGCCGCUGCUAGGCGCCACGGACCGGGCACAGAGCCAGUACUCGAUGUUCGUGGAGAAGCUGAACAAGAAGAAGCAGACGUCACAUGAUGGCACACCACCAUCAAUCCUGUGGGCUAUCGUUUCUCAUCACAAGUGCGGGAUCAUGGUGUCAGGUCUCUUCGCCCUGCUCAAGGUGCUCACCUUGUCCACAGGCCCGCUGCUCCUGAGGGCAUUCAUCAACCUGUCAACCGGGAAAGUGACCUCCGAUUCCAAGCAUGAAGGCUAUACGCUGGCCGCGCUCAUGUUCAUCUGCAAAUUGUGCGAGUCGCUGUCGCAGAGGCAGUGGUACUUCCGCACGCGGAGGCUGGGGCUCCAGGUGAGGUCGCUUCUCUCGGCGGCCAUCUACAGGAAGCAGCAGAAGCUAUCGAGCUCGGCGAAGAUGGCACACUCCUCCGGGCAGAUCAUGAACUACCUCACCGUCGACGCGUACCGGGUCGGGGAGUUCCCGUACUGGUUCCACCAGACAUGGACGACGGUCGUCCAGCUCUGCAUCGCUCUGGCGAUCCUUUACAGCGCGGUCGGCGCCGCCAUGGUCUCGUCCCUGGUCGUCGUCGUCAUCACCGUGCUCUGCAACGCUCCGUUGGCCAAGCUGCAGCACAGGUUUCAGAGCAAGCUGAUGGAGGCGACGGACGCGAGGUUGAAGGCCAUGUCAGAGUCACUGGUGCACAUGAAGGCGUUGAAGCUCUACGCGUGGGAAGGUCACUUCAGGAAGGCCAUUGAGGAGCUGAGGGAGGUCGAGUACAGGUGGCUGUCGGCGUUCCAGCUUAGCAGGGCGUACAACAGCGUCCUCUUCUGGUCGUCGCCUGUCUGGGUCUCGGCGGCGACAUUUCUGACAUGCUACUUUCUGGAGAUCCCUCUUGAUGCCAGCAACGUCUUCACCUUCAUCGCGACCCUGCGCCUGGUGCAGGACCCGAUUCGGGCCAUACCGGAGGUUCUCGGAGUCGUGGUGCAGGCUAAGGUUGCUUUCACUCGGAUAGAGAAGUUUCUAGGUGCACCUGAGCUGAAUGGACGAGCCAAGGAGAAAUGUUCCUCUGCAGGCAUCGGUUACCCGGUAGCUAUGAACUCGUGCUGGUUCUCGUGGUGCGAAGAUCCAUCAAAGCCUAACCUGAAGGAUGUAAAUUUGGUGGUCAAAGCUGGGGAGAAGGUUGCGAUUUGCGGGGAGGUAGGGUCGGGGAAGUCGACGCUUUUGGCUGCGAUACUCGGAGAGGUCCCGAAAACUGAAGGCACGAUUCAAGUCUGCGGAAAAAUAGCAUAUGUGUCACAGAACGCAUGGAUCCAAACCGGAACCGUGCAGGAGAACAUUCUCUUCGGGUCUCGUAUGGACAGCCAAAGGUACCAGGAAACACUCGCGAGGUGCUCGCUGGUGAAGGACCUUGAGAUGUUGCCGUACGGAGACGAUACUGAAAUCGGGGAGAGGGGAGUGAACCUGAGUGGCGGUCAGAAGCAGCGCCUUCAGCUUGCUCGUGCGUUGUACCAAGAUGCAGACAUAUAUCUCCUCGACGACCCUUUCAGCGCCGUCGAUGCCCAUACAGCAACCGGCCUCUUCAAUGAAUAUGUCAUGGGCGCUCUUUCAGACAAGACUGUUCUUCUGGUCACCCACCAAGUCGAUUUUCUACCCGUCUUCGACUCCAUUCUGCUGAUGUCAGAUGGGGAGGUUAUUCGGUCGGCACCUUAUCGAGAUCUAUUGGCGGACUGUCAAGAAUUCAAAGACCUUGUAAAUGCCCAUAAGGAUACCAUUGGGAUUUCAGAUGUUGAUAACAAUGCUGCUCCUCACAGAGCAAACGGAACAUCAACAAAGGAGAAGCAUCAUGCCUAUGGAAGUGGAUACACAAAGUCUGAGAAGCCAUCACCAGCACACCAACUGAUCAAGGAAGAGGAAAGAGAGACAGGAGACACUGGACUUAAGCCCUACAUGAUUUACCUGCGCCAGAACAGAGGCUUCAUGUAUGCCUCUCUGUGUGUCAUUUCUCACAUGAUCUUCAUAGCGGGGCAAAUAGCGCAGAACUCUUGGAUGGCGGCGAAUGUCCAAGAUCCGCGUGUCAGUACACUGAGGCUAAUCACUGUGUACAUUGUUAUCGGACUUUGCACGAUGUUGUUUUUGCUAUCAAGAUGUCUAUCGGUUGUUGUUCUCGGGGUCCAGACAUCGAGAUCCUUGUUUUCCCAGUUACUUGACUCGUUGUUCCGUGCACCGAUGUCCUUUUAUGAUUCUACUCCUCUAGGAAGGGUCCUUAUCCGGGUCUCUUCCGAUUUGAGUACUGUCGACCUUGAUGUCCCAUUCGCGUUCAUGUUUAGCCUUAGUGCCAGCCUGAAUGGAUACAGCAAUCUGGGGGUAUUGGCUGUUGUUACAUGGCAAGUUCUAUUUGUGUCCGUGCCAAUGAUAGUUUUGUCAGUUAGACUACAGAAGUAUUACUUAGCCUCUGCUAAGGAACUUAUGCGGAUCAAUGGCACUACCAAGUCCGCUCUAGCAAAUCACCUAGGCGAAUCGAUUUCAGGGGCUAUAACCAUAAGGGCCUUCGAGGAAGAAGAUCGUUUCUUUGAUAAAAAUUCUGAUCUUGUUGACAAGAAUGCUAUCCCAUACUUCUACAACUUUGCAGCAACAGAAUGGCUGAUUCAACGCCUUGAAAUAAUGAGUGCUGCAGUCCUUUCUUUUUCUGCAUUUCUCAUAGUUCUUCUUCCUCCAGGAACUUUUAGCCCUGGUUUUGUGGGAAUGGCUUUGUCGUAUGGUCUUUCCCUAAAUAUGUCUUUUGUUUCCUCUAUUAGAAAGCAAUGCACCUUUGCGAAUCAAAUAAUAUCCGUGGAACGGGUGAACCAGUACAUGGACAUAAAAAGUGAAGCAGCAGAAGUCAUCGAAGAAAACCGGCCGGCACCGGAUUGGCCUCAAAUUGGUAGUGUGGAGAUUAGAGAUUUGAAGAUUAGGUACAGAAAGGAUGCUCCCCUUGUACUGCAUGGAAUCAGUUGCAAGUUUGAAGGUGGAGAUAAAAUUGGUAUAGUUGGUCGAACAGGAAGUGGGAAAACAACGUUAAUUGGCGCAUUGUUUCGCCUUGUCGAACCAUCUGGAGGGAAAAUAAUUAUUGACUCUUUGGACAUCACUUCUAUCGGCUUACAUGACCUGCGUUCACAUUUGGGCAUCAUCCCACAAGAUCCAACACUUUUUCAGGGCACUGUAAGAUAUAAUCUAGAUCCUCUUGGGCAAUUCUCAGAUCAACAAAUAUGGGAGGUUCUUGAUAAAUGUCAACUUCUUGAAACUGUCCAGGAGAAAGAACAGGGAUUGGAUUCACUUGUCGCGGAAGAUGGGUCGAACUGGAGCAUGGGCCAAAGGCAGCUCUUCUGUUUGGGACGCGCACUUUUGAGAAGGUGUCGCAUCUUAGUUCUUGAUGAAGCCACGGCCUCUAUAGACAAUGGAACAGAUGUUGUCCUUCAGAAGACUAUUCGAACAGAAUUCAAACAUUGCACCGUUAUUACAGUGGCACACCGUAUACCGACAGUUAUGGACUGUGACAUGGUACUUGCAAUGAGCGAUGGGAAAAUAAUGGAGUAUGACAGACCUACAAACCUAAUGGAAACUGAAGGAUCUUUCUUCCGCGAGCUGGUCAAGGAGUAUUGGUCAUACACAUCAAACGGAAAUAUAUAG
rnacentral:rRNA from 1 species